rnacentral:misc_RNA from 1 species
GAUGAAGAACUUAGCGAAAUGCGAUAAGUAAUGUGAAUUGCAGAAUUCAGUGAAUCAUCGAAUCUUUGAACGCACAUUGCGCCCGUCAGUAUUCUGGCGGGCAUGCCUGUUCGAGCGUCAUUACGCCCCUCAAGUCCCCUGUGGACUUGGUUUUGGGGAUCGGCGAGGCUGGUUUUCCAGCACAGCCGUCCCUUAAAUUAAUUGGCGGUCUCGCCGUGGCCCUCCUCUGCGCAGUAGUAAAACACUCGCAACAGGAGCCCGGCGCGGUCCACUGCCGUAAAACCCCCCAACUUUUUAUAGUUGACCUCGAAUCAGGUAGGACUACCCGCUGAACUUAAGCAUAUCAAUAAGCGGAGGA